rnacentral:miRNA from 1 species
AGAGGAGGGUGCUCGGCCGGGGAUUA